rnacentral:rRNA from 1 species
UACGGAGGAUCCGAGCGUUAUCCGGAUUUAUUGGGUUUAAAGGGUGCGUAGGCGGACUAGUAAGUCAGUGGUGAAAUCCUGCAGCUUAACUGUAGAAUUGCCGUUGAUACUGUUAGUCUUGAGUACAUUUGAGGUAGGCGGAAUUUGUGGUGUAGCGGUGAAAUGCAUAGAUAUCACGAGGAACUCCGAUUGCGCAGGCAGCUUACUAAACCAUAACUGACGCUCAAGCACGAAGGCGUGGGGAUCAAACAGGAUUAGAUACCCUGGUAGUCCACGCAGUAAACGAUGAUUACUGGCUGUUUGCGAUAUAAUGUAAGCGGCUGAGCGAAAGCGUUAAGUAAUCCACCUGGGGAGUACGUUCGCAAGAAUGAA